AGCUCUUGAUGAGGCACUGAAACCAGUACCAACGCUGCAUCUUCCUUCCUGCUGGAGAAGAUGGGUGUUUGAUAAGCACGAAGCUUUACACAGGCAGCUACAGCUAUAAACUGCUGUUGGUUACUGAGGAACAAUAACAGACUGCCAGAAGAAGUCUGGGAGCUCAGCCAUAGGAAAAAUGGAGGAGUAUACCCCACCAUCAGGAAAGCAAAUUCUUUAGAUGAAGUGUUAUGAAUGGAAGAUGAAAUGGCACAUGCUGAACACCUCCAGCACCCUCUACUGCUCCUCACGGGAUCUGUGCUCCAGACCCUUCACCAGUUCUGUUCUACUCGCUCCAGCGCCUUGAUGUCUUUCUUGUCAUGAAGGGCCCAGAACUGAAGACAGGACUCGAGAUGUGGCUUCACCAUUGCCCAGUGCAGUGGAACUGUGCUUUGUAUUUGCAUUUUUUACUUACCACAUGUAUAUAACAUACCACGUGUAUGUUACCACAUGUGGUUUCUGGGCUUGCAAACUGUUUCUGCCACAUUUCAGAGUGUGAGCCAAAAAUGCUACUGCUUUGUCUUGCCUUCAAAGUUCAGCAUUAGGAUUUAAGGAAACAACAGCAGAGUAUGUAGCAUAUAAAAUGUUUUGGUAGCUAUUGAAACUAAAGCAAGAAAUAGAAAAUUAAAGUGAUGAAAUGCAAAGAAUCCAAAAAUGCACCAAAUCCUUGCUGAGAGAUAAAGACUGCUUCCACCUGAGUUUCAGAUAGUCAUAUGUUUGUCUGAAAAAUGGAUGUGAAUAAUGAGACCUUGUUUAUCUUCUGUAGGCCAUAAGCAUCUUUCCUGUUAGUAGCACUGCAGAAGCUGUUCCAGCCACUGUGCAGGUUUGUGGAAAUUGUGUGUGGGUUGUGUGUGCACACAUACACGAUGAUGCAGGUUUGCUAUGGUAUGGUAGGUAUUGGUCUUUGAAUUUAUAUUGGGUGAAGGCAACAAUUGUCUUUUGCGUUCACUGCUAUUUUUUGCCAAUAUUUAAAAAUUCAGAAAACCCUAGCAUUUCACCACUGUCUGUAGAAUUGGGGCAGCAUAUUAGCUAUGAAAAAUAAAAGACACAGAAAAAAAUCUUGUGAAAUCACUCCUUUGAAGCCGAAAUAAAAACAUUGUUAUGCCCAGAGAUUAAUUAUGAAUAAUCGGAUUCUGACUUUAAUCUGUUCAGUUAAGGGGGGAAGCAUAGAUGAGUU